rnacentral:precursor_RNA from 1 species
GUGAACGGGCGCCAUCCCGAGGCUUUGCACAGGGGCAAGCUUCGAGUUCCGUUUUCCA